AGCAGCGUGGCUCAGUGGAAAGAGCACGGGCUUGGGAGUCAGAGGUCAUGAGUUCAAAUCCCAGCUCUGCCA
rfam:Ornithorhynchus anatinus chromosome 1, whole genome shotgun sequence.